rnacentral:lncRNA from 1 species
UAUCCAUCGGACAUCACCAAACGAUCUCCGGGGACAAUGAAGCGAUGGUGGCUUCUGGCUUUGCCAGUUCAAGAGCCCCCUGUUAUCGGUCUCGGGCCACCCUUGUUCCUUCACCAGUGUUGUUGGCAGGCCACCGACGAAAUUGACUGUUGUAGGAGGUGCAGCCCCAAUUCUCAGCCUUCAACACAAAAUUGGUCCAUCACAAAUGCUACCAAAAUAAGCCACAUAAUUUUUCUGACGCUAUAAUUCAGAAACUACUAAAACCAAAUUCAUGUUGUUAUUUGGACGAACAAAUAUUCUGCAUCAACUAAUGCAUGGUGCAGGGAAAAUAGGGAAUUACCUCUUGGUCCAACCAGGAGCUUCAUGAUUUACUUUGCCAGUCAAUUCCACCGACUACACUGGAGUAGCUCCCUUCCUUGCCGAGUCUAUUCCUCUGCUGCUGUCCGAGCAUAAACAACAGUGAGCCAUAAUGUACUACCACGGGAAACAACAACAAGUAAAGCAUCAUCAGUUCGUAGAUGCAAGAAAAAAGAUGCUAGCAAGCAACUCUGCUGCUCCCCAAACUGUAACCAUCAAGUCCCGCAAGAUACAUCCCCAGCUGCUUGUUUGGCUUUCCUCAAAGAAGCUCCCAUCUAUAUUCAACAAUCACCCCAGCCAACUUCUGGCGGCGACCAUUGUUUUCUAAAGAGUUUGACUGGAUAACAUCACAAUAACACAUACAUUACACUAUUAUGUGACAACAUCAUUAGCAUUAUACAAAUUGAUACGCUUGUCCCCAGCCUAACAAAAGUCAAGGAUACAUGCAACCACAACAAAUGUAAACACAUGCAUAUAUCUACAUUGUCUCUCGAGAUAAAGAAAUAAAGGGGUAAAUCACGUUACAUUUAUUUAAGUGACCUCCGUUGUAGCUCAAACAUGUGUUGAUUUGCUGCAUCAAGGUGCCAAAUAACUCACAUGGUACGCCCACUUUGUUGUCUCCAAUAAAUUCAGGACUCUUCCAAGAUGUUAAAAUAGUAGCAUAUAAAGAAAAUAAAACAUCUCCUUACAACUACAUAAUAUAUACAAAACAGAGUAUAUAGUGACUGUUUCUUGAAGCUGAGAGAAAAAUAAGCAUCUUUCAUCAGAAUCUUUGGUACAUUGUGAGGAAAAAAACAAUUGAACUUCUUUUCCAACACGGGAUAAGGCAAAGAAUGAAAAUGAAACAAAAACUUACCAUGUAAGAAUUCAUUAUUUCUGUGUCUCGUUUAGACGGGUAAUGACUUAAUAGACGAACAAAAGCCUAACAUUUAAGCAGAUAUUUUUUCAUGGUUAUAAUGAUGCUUUUCUUCUUAAGUUAAGGUUGGUCUUGUUUGUUAGAAAAAUAUAAAACUAAAAAGAGCUAGAGAACACAAAGUUACAUGCCAAACCAUAGAAGAAAACAGCUUGCCGACUCACCUCUAAUAGUCAAUGGUCUCACCUACAUCAGCAACAAUCAAUUGUGUUGUGUAAAUGAAGUUUGUAGAUAUUAGAUUAGGGUGCAUCAAUUGAAAUGCCAUGAAAAUAACAAUAAUAAAGGAAAAACUAUUGAGGAAAAUAAUUAUCGGUAGAUGAUCAUAGUCUAACAAAUAAUAAAUGUACUAAAAGCAGCUCCCAGUUGUUUUCUUUGUUAAUCUAAAUGGUAAUUAUCUAAACAUCACUAUAAAGCUAUUUCAAAGUUCUCUCACCACUUCCUUGCAUAGUCAUGUCUCCAACAUAAGAAUCAAAACUUAUAAUUAAACUAUAAGCACUUCAAUAAGUUUCUCGAGCUCCUCAAGGUAGCGAACAACCUAGUGUAUUAAGCCAAACCAUGUUAUCAUAAUAUUUUCUUAACUCUAAUCAUCAAAUGCCCAUACAUUUUCUCGCAGCAAAAAUUCUCUAGCUCGUCUAGGCAACAAUGAACCAAGGCAUGCACACCAACUAAAGUACAUCCCCUAAAAAGUGCAAUUCUAAUUGUUUUCCACAUUGAAAAUCCGGUACAUCAUGGUCAAAACAACAUGAGAGAAAAAAACUAGGGAAAUCCCUCAUUGAUUAUUUCUAUUGGCAGAACAAAAACUGCUAGUCCAAAUAAAAUAAAAUAAGCCUCUAACAUUGACAUGUUGUUCUGAAGUAUCAUCAAACCUAUUGAUAAUUAAUUGUAUAUAGAAAAGAACUAAAACCAACAAAUGCACUUGGCUAAUUGAAAAUCAAGCACACUGAAGUUGUAAUUGCAGGUAGAGGACGAAGCAAUUAAAAAGUAGUUAGCAAAUGUUGGAUAUUCCGAACUCUCAUACCUACGUGUUGAUGUCGUUUAGUAUGUGUCAUACGCCGAGUUAGCAAGUCCUGAUCUAUGUAAUCUGCAUCUGUAAGUACAAGAAAAAAUUAUCGUUAUCAAGGUUAUGGCCUGAGGCAAACAAUUGAACUAUUGAUCUAGUAGCUAUCUCAUAUGUGAGAGUUUCGUCUUGGCCAAACUGUGAUCAGCCUGUAGUAGCUUGGUGUACGGCAAAUCGUCUACUCAAGCGAUGAUCCGAUCAAAGGAAGCCAUGCACAGCUAACUGGGAUUUUUUACACACCUUAUAAUUUAUAUAUCAGACUGCUAGCCUAAAUAAAAUAAGGCUUUACCAUAUUGACAUAUUGUUCUAAACUUCACCUAACCUAUUAACUAUUGCCAACAAAGAGAUUUAGCUAAUUGAAAUGUAAGCACAUUGAGCUUGCAAUUGCAGGUAGUGCGUAAAGCAAUUAGGAAGUAGCUAGGGAAUGUUGGAUAUUCCGAACUCCCAUACCUACGUGUUGAUCUUUUUUCUGAGUCCCAAGUCAUAGUAUUUAUCAUCCACCGAGUUGGCAAUUUCUAAUGUAUGUAAUCUGCAUCUAUAAAGUUUUGCCAGCACAUCCGACAUACAUGCCUUUGCCCAAGCAUCAGGGAAAGGUGUGCGUGUUGUCAUCAUUGAAUCUGCGAACAACCAAAAAGUUAAGAUCAAUCUCCAUGCCCAACAUAAUCCGCAAAAAUCAAGUGACUAUUUCCCCUCUCGAUCUCCUCGCUCUACUCAACCAUGGUAGCCGACAGAGCCAGAACAGGGAAGCUUGUGUGGGCUGGAGGCUGUCCGCCAGGAGGGCCUGCACGGGAGCCGGCAAGCGUUUGUAGCAGGCCGUGAGCCGCAUUGGACAGGAUGGGAGAGGAAAGGGGUGUGGAGCAGUGAGCAGUGCCCCGAGGGAAUGGAGAUAGAGGUACCAGGGAGAGGCGUCGGCAUCCUUGCGCACAGAAGCGCUAGGCGGUGGCGGAGAUCCUGCGGGAGGCGCCAAGGUGGCGAGGUGAGUCUCUGGCUGGGUCACGCAGAAUCAGGGCAUCCACCGGCGGGCGGCGUGCUCCAAGGAGCUGUCGGCCGAGGCUCCGUCUUGGAUAUCGAACGACGGCGAGGGGCUACGAUGACGACUGGGGAUGGGAGAGGGUGGAGAGGGUGGAGAGGGUUGCUGGGAGCAGAGGGAUGGGGCGUGGCGGUGGAGGGAACCCUAGCGCCGGGUGGCCGGGAUGGUUCGUGUUCUCGUGGGGAUAGAGAGACGGGUGUAUGUAGAAUCGUUU